UACGUAGGGUGCAAGCGUUAAUCGGAAUUACUGGGCGUAAAGCGUGCGCAGGCGGUUUUGUAAGUCAGAUGUGAAAUCCCCGGGCUUAACCUGGGAACUGCGUUUGAAACUACAAGGCUAGAGUGUGGCAGAGGGGGGUGGAAUUCCACGUGUAGCAGUGAAAUGCGUAGAGAUGCGGAGGAACACCGAUGGCGAAGGCAGCCCCCUGGGUUAACACUGACGCUCAGGCACGAAAGCGUGGGGAGCAAACAGG
rnacentral:rRNA from 1 species